AUUGAACGCUGGCGGCAUGCCUUACACAUGCAAGUCGAACGGCAGCACGGGUGCUUGCACCUGGUGGCGAGUGGCGAACGGGUGAGUAAUACAUCGGAACAUGUCCUGUAGUGGGGGAUAGCCCGGCGAAAGCCGGAUUAAUACUGCAUACGAACUACGGAUGAAAGCGGGGGACCUUCGGGCCUCGCGCUAUCGGGUUGGCCGAUGGCUGAUUAGCUCGUUGGUGGGGUAAAGGCAUACCAAGGCGACGAUCAGUAGCUGGUCUGAGAGGACGACCAGCCACACUGGGACUGAGACACGGCCCAGACUCCUACGGGAGGCAGCAGUGGGGAAUUUUGGACAAUGGGCGAAAGCCUGAUCCAGCAAUGCCGCGUGUGUGAAGAAGGCCUUCGGGUUGUAAAGCACUUUUGUCCGGAAAGAAAACCUUGGCCCUAAUACGGUCGGGGGAUGACGGUACCGGAAGAAUAAGCACCGGCUAACUACGUG
rnacentral:rRNA from 1 species